rnacentral:misc_RNA from 1 species
UUUGUGACUUUAUUUACUUUGGAUAAAAUUCCUCAUUGCUGAGGACGUUCUAUAAAAUAUUAUAAUUCAGUUGCCGGCCGCGGGAAAUUCGGCCAUACGUCAUCUCCGGGCCUGUCAAUGGGCAGCUGAUUCAAACGAUCAUAACGGC